rnacentral:rRNA from 1 species
UACGGAGGGGCUAGCGUUGUUCGGAAUUACUGGGCGUAAAGCGCGCGUAGGCGGCUUUGUAAGUUAGAGGUGAAAGCCCGGAGCCUCAACUCCGGAAUUGCCUUUAAGACUGCAUCGCUAGAAGUCAUGGAGAGGUGAGUGGAAUUCCGAGUGUAGAGGGUGAAAUUCGUAGAUAUUCGGAAGAACACCAGUGGCGAAGGCGACUCACUGGACAUGUAUUGACGCUAGGU